rnacentral:tRNA from 1 species
GCUGCAUGUCCGGGCGGUGAGGAAGGCGCCUUGAAAGCGUUUGAUCGGUAACGAUUUGCAGGUUCGAAUCCUGUGUGCAGCGCCA